AUUACUUCUCGGCCUUUUGGCUAAGAUUAAGUGAAGAAUC
rnacentral:snRNA from 1 species